UCGAACGAGAUCCAUUCAGUAGCAAUACUGAUGAAGAUCUAGUGGCGAACGGGUGCGUAACACGUGAGGAACUUGUCCCGGUCUCUGGGAUAACAGUUGGAAACGACUGCUAAUACCGGAUGACGUCGGAACUUCGCAUGGAGUACUGACGAAAGGGUUACUGGAUCGGGAGAGCCUCGCGGCCUAUCAGCUUGUCGGUGGGGUAACGGCCUACCGAGGCAUCGACGGGUAGCUGGUCUGAGAGGAUGAUCAGCCACACUGGGACUGAGACACGGCCCAGACUCCUACGGGAGGCAGCAGUGGGGAAUCUUGCACAAUGGGCGAAAGCCUGAUGCAGCAACGCCGCGUGCGGGAAGAAGGCCCUCGGGUUGUAAACCGCUUUCAGAAGGAACGAAACUGACGGUACUUUCAGAAGAAGGUGCGGCCAACUACGUGCCAGCAGCCGCGGUGACACGUAGGCACCAAGCGUUGUCCGGAUUUAUUGGGCGUAAAGAGCUCGUAGGCGGUUCAGUAAGUCGGGUGUGAAAACUUUGGGCUUAACCCAAAGCGUGCAUCCGAUACUGCUGUGACUUGAGUACGGUAGGGGAGCGGGGAAUUCCUAGUGUAGCGGUGAAAUGCGCAGAUAUUAGGAGGAACACCGGUGGCGAAGGCGCCGCUCUGGGCCGAAACUGACGCUGAGGAGCGAAAGCAUGGGUAGCAA
rnacentral:rRNA from 1 species